UCCGGUUGAUCCUGCCGGACCCUACUGCUAUCGGGGUGGGACUAAAACAUGCUAGUCAAACGUCUCCAAGCCAUGGAAGAGACGUGGCAAAAAGCUCAGUAACACGUGGCCAACCUAACCUUGAGACAGGAACAACCCCGGGAAACUGGGGACAAUUCCAGAUAGGCGAGGAACCCUGGAAUGGGUCCUCACCCAAAAGACAUCCAAACCACGCACAAGAUGUCGCUCAAGGAUGGAGCCGCGACCGAUCAGGUAGUUGGUAGGACAAAGGCCUACCAAGCCCAUAACCGGUACGGGCCGUGAGAGCGGGAGCCCGGAGAUGGGAACUGAGACAAGGUCCCAGGCCCUACGGGGCGCAGCAGUUACGAAAACUCCGCAAUGCACGAAAGUGUGACGGGGCUACCCCGAGUGCCGUCCGCUGAGGAUGGCUUUUCCACGCCGUAAGGAAGCGUGGGAAUAAGGAGAGGGCAAGUCUGGUGUCAGCCGCCGCGGUAAAACCAGCUCUCCGAGUGGUAGGGACGAUUAUUGGGCUUAAAGCGUCCGUAGCCGGCCUAACAAGUCUCUCGUCAAAUCCAACGAUCCAAUCGCUGGACCGCGGGAGAUACUGCCAGGCUAGGAGGCGGGAGAGGCCGACGGUACUCUUGGGGUAGGGGUGAAAUCCUGUAAUCCCAGGAGGACCACCAGUGGCGAAGGCUGUCGGCUGGCACGCGCUCGACGGUGAGGGACGAAAGCUUGGGGAGCGAACCGGAUUAGAUACCCGGGUAGUCCAAGCUGUAAACGAUGCGGGCUAGGUGUUGGGGUGGCUACGGGCCACUUCAGUGCCGCAGCGAAGGCAUUAAGCCCGCCGCCUGGGGAGUACGGCCGCAAGGCUGAAACUUAAAGGAAUUGGCGGGGGAGCACCACAAGGGGUGAAGCUUGCGGUUUAAUUGGAGUCAACGCCGGA
rnacentral:rRNA from 1 species